rnacentral:rRNA from 1 species
GACAGAGGAUGCAAGCGUUAUCCGGAAUGAUUGGGCGUAAAGCGUCUGUAGGUGGCUUUCAAGUCCGCCGUCAAAUCCCAGGGCUCAACCCUGGACAGGCGGUGGAAACUACCAAGGCUGGAGUACGGUAGGGGCAGAGGGAAUUUCCGGUGGAGCGGUGAAAUGCAUUGAGAUCGGAAAGAACACCAACGGCGAAAGCACUCUGCUGGCCGACACUGACACUGAGAGACGAAAGCUAGGGGAGCAAAUGGG